rnacentral:sRNA from 1 species
GGGGGCGUAAAGGUUUCGACGGGGAUUCUGAUGCCCGGCAAGCGAGCAGAAGCGUGUGACUUCUUUAAAACGCACAAACCUUAAAACAAACGCUAACAACGAAUUAGCAAUCGCUGCCUAACUUAAGGCGGCCGUCAUGCCGGUGAGUACUGCGGCUCCGGUUUUGGCGUGACACAGCAGUGAACAUGAACGCGGUCAAGCUUUGCCCCGCGUCAGGUAUUAAUGAAGCUACCAUCCUCUGCUGCGCGCCGGUUCGCGGCGGCGGACGGGAAUUAUAACAUCCGGCUACGCUCGUAGAAAACCGUUCUGAUGGGUUUUCGGACAGGGGUUCGAUUCCCCUCGCCUCCACCA